rnacentral:misc_RNA from 1 species
GCCUUGAGCCUUUGAUAACUAUGGUUGACACUUGAUCUGUCCCUCUUUGAAUAUAUAUUCUGGUGCUUCUUUCUUUUUCAUAGAUAUUGCAUCUUAUUUUAUUCAAAGAAAACUUGUUUUGGUGUUGAUGAUCCUUGGGUUCCAUUAGAGGUCUGCAUCCUUAGGCAAUAUUCAUUUGGGUGCUCAUCAUAUUGGUAUCAGAGUAUUAGAGAAUCAAAUCAAGUAAGUAUUUUUCAUUAUUUAUCUUCCUUUAGUUGAUUUUUCUGUUUGGUUUAAGCUUCUAAGACAUUCUGCCAAAGAAGACAUUUCUAGGAUUUUUGUUUUUCAUCAUCUUCCAUGCUUUUCUUGAGACUGAAACCCGUCUUGCCAUCCUUAGAGCAAUUGAUUUUUCAUUUCUGUUUCCAAUACUUGCCACCAAAAUCUUCAUCUAGGGCUUUAGAGAAAUUUCUUUAAAUCUAUCUUUGAUUUCAGUUUUGUCUUAGAGUGGUUUAAUCUAUAUUCCAACUUAUACCAUCUGUGCUAGCUAAUUUCUUUGAACUCUUGCAUAAUAUCAAGCAUGUUUAGCCUACUGCACUAAUUGUAAUUUAUGAGAGAUUGGUGAAUUGAUGACUGAAAUUGGGAAUUGACAUGAUUAGUAACUGAUAGGAAUGCAAUUUUGAUGAUAUAUCUACUGCCCCAUUGGAGUUUGUGGUGUUUGUGCUGGAAUUGUGAAUUAUUACCAUUGUUGAAUUGGGGGAAAUUAUAGAAACGUGGGGUUAAAGUUUUAAUUUGGUUUUGAAAUUUUACCAGCAUCAUUUGGGUAUAAAUAUUGUGAUUCAUACCAAAUUUGAGGUGAAAAUACCACUGUUUGCCUAUUGAACCACAUUUUGUGGAGAAAUUGGACUAUUUUUAGUUCACCCAUCAAACCAACUCAGAACUUGAUCAAAUUUUAUCAGAAUUCUACUUUCAUAUUAGGGAUAAUAUCUGGAAAUUUUCAACUUAAAAUUCCUUCAUUUGCAUGGUGAACCAAAGCUGGCCUCAAUUUGUGCUAUAUGGGUGCUUCUAGUGCAAUUGUUGGUAUUUUGGCUGUGAAAAAUUGGUUUUGUUGCUUGAUAUUAUCUUCUUAGGUUGUCAUAAUCUCAGUUUCAAAAUUUCAUUCCAUUUGCAUUUCGUUUGCCUCUACUUUGGUGUUUUCAUUUUCUUGCUUCUAGAGUCACAUUUUUACUUAUUGCUAUUUUCGUAUCUUCCUUGUCGUUCUUGAUCAUUUUGUUUAAAAUUCGUGAGUGUUUAAAUUGUCAUUGGUAUCUUAGUUCCAAGGGAACCAAGCAAGAAGAGGUGAGUGGUAAAAGGCUUGAGGGUGUGAGUGCAUUAGAGGGUAAAAGUCAUCUGUUUGUGUGAAACACCUAGAGAGGGUUAGCCAUUUCCUACUAACUUGUUUUCUUGCAGCUCAAAAUCAUGUCAAAUGAAACUAGUAGUAGCGGGGAGAGAGUCCCAUUUGAUGAAGCUAGGUAUAGGGAUGCUAUGGCUGCAUAAUUUGAGAGGUUGACCUUAGGUAUGAAUACAUUGAGGGAUGAUAUAAAUAGGAUUUUGGAGGAGAUGAGAAGGGAUAGGGAAGAGAGAGCAAGGGAUAGAAAUGAUGCUAGGGAUAGAAGGCAAGAAGAGAGAAAUGUAGGAGGACCAACAGUAGAGAACCUUGGGGGUAAAGUGUAUGAUGACGAGGAGUUUGAGGAAGAGAUAUAAGAUGAAUUUGAAUAUGGAAACUAUAACUAUGGUGGUAGGGGUUAUAGACCGCCUAGGAGUAGGGGAGCUAGAGGUAGAAGAGGAGGUAGGUUACCUAGAUUUGGGGAGAAUAGAUAUAGUGAUUAUGGGUAUGGGGGCCAAGAGAAAAGGGCAAACACUAAUGUGGGCAGUAUUAAGAUGAAAAUUCCUCCCUUUCAUGGGAAAGAGAAUCCGGAUGCCUAUAUGGAGUGAGAAAGGCAAGUUGAGAUAAUUUUUUAAUGUCAUAACUAUAGUGAGGAAAAGAAAGUGAAGCUUGCAGCCGUAGAGUUUAAGGAGUAUACUAUAGUGUGUUGGGACCAAUUGAUGGUUAGGAAAAGGACUUUAGGUCUUAGACCCAUUGCUUCUUGGGAGGCUAUGGGAGAAGCAAUAAGAGAGAGAUUUGUUCCACAACACUACUUUAGGGAACUCCAUCAAAGGAUGACACAAGGUGGGAAGAGUGUAGAGGAGUACUAUAAGGCAAUGGAGAUAGCCUUAGCAAGGGCACAAUUAGAUGAACCUCCAGAGGCUACUAUGGCACGUUUCCUAGCUGGUCUUAACAUAGAGAUAGCACAUGUUGUUGAGUUGCACUCUUACACUAAUUUGACUGAGUUAGUGCACAAACCAAAUGUAGAUAAGACUUCUAAGGGUGAGAAAGAAUUUUCUAAGUUUAGGAAAGAAGAGUGGAAGGGGAAAGAAAAGGUAGAAAGUAAAGAUAAGGAGAAGUGGGGUACUGCCACUACUAGGACUAGAGAUGUGAAGUGUUUCAAGUGUUUGGGAUAUGGGCAUUAUGCUUCCCAAUGUUCUAACAAAAUAGUCAUGGGGAUUAGGGAAGAUGGGGAUGUAGAGUGAGGAAGAAAAUGAAUCCGAACCUUUGAUGUUAGUUGAGGGGAAUGAAAAUGAAGAGGAUGUGCACGUUGAAGAGCCAUCCGAUGGGUAUGACUUUGCAUUGGUUACCAUGAGGACCUUGAGUGCUCAACCUAUUGUGGAUAGUGAUGAGUUGCAAAGGGAAAACAUCUUUCAUACUAGGUGUGUGGUGAAGGAGAAAUUGUGUAGCAUGAUUAUAGAUGGGGGUAGUUGUUGCAAUGUGGCUAGUUCCUUACUUGUGGAGAAAUUAGGAUUGCCUACCCUUAAGCAUCCUAAACCUUAUGGGUUACAAUGGCUAAAUGAUUGCAACAAAGUGAAGGUAACUAAGCAAGUAGUGGUACCUUUCACUAUAGGGAGCUACCAUGAUGAGGUCUUAUGUGAUGUAGUGCCCAUGAUAGCUACACAUAUCUUGCUAGGCAGGCCAUUGCAGCAUGAUCGGUAUGUGAUUCAUGAUGGGAGGAAGAAUCACCACACUUUGAAGAAAGAUGACGGCACACCAGCCUUGGUGGCCUUGUCACCAUCACAAGCACAUGAGGACCAAAUGAGAAUAUUGAGGGCUGUUGAGGAGAGAAAAGAGAGUUGGAGAGAAAAAUUAAGAGAGGCCGAGCACAAGAGUGAAGAAAGUAAAGAAAAGAGUGAUGGGAAAGAGAAAAAGAAAGAAGUGAAAGAAAAGAAAGUGAGUGUAAUGGAAAAGGGAGAGGGCUCGGGACAAAAGGAGAGAAGAGAGAAAAAGAUGAGCUUGUAUGUUGGGGGAAGGGAGUUGAGAGGAGCUUUGAGGGGUGGGAUGCCAUUGUGCAUUCUCAUGUAUAGGGAGAAUUAUUUAAAUGUUUCUGACCUUGACCCCAAUCUUCCUUCUUCUGUUGUGUCUCUUUUGCAGGAAUACCAGGAUGUGUUUCCAGAUGAGAUACCUUCGGAUUUACCACCUAUUAGGGGUAUUGAACACCAAAUAGAUUUCAUUCCUGGUGCUCAAAUUCCUAAUAGACCAGCCUAUAGGAGUAGUCCAGCUGAGACUAAGGAGCUUCAAAGAUAGGUAAAUGAGCUUUUGGCUAAGUGACAUGUCCGUGAGAGCAUGAGUCCUUGUGCGGAUCCUGUUUUGCCCGUGCCAAAGAAGGAUGGAACAUAUAGGAUGUGCGUGGAUUGUAGAGCUGUGAAUAAAAUCACUGUAAAGUAUCGCCACCCUAUUCCUAGAUUGGAUGAUUUGUUGGAUGAAUUGCAUGGUUCUUGUUUUUUUAGUAAGAUUGAUUUGAAGAGCGGUUACCAUCAAAUUAGAAUGAGAGUUGGUGAUGAAUGGAAAACUGCCUUCAAAACAAAACAUGGCUUAUAUGAGUGGCUAGUGAUGCCUUUUGGUCUCUCUAAUGCCCCUAGUACUUUCAUGAGGCUUAUGAAUCAUGUUUUGAGAGCUUUUAUUGGACAGUUUGUUGUUGUCUACUUUGAUGAUAUUCUUGUCUAUAGCAAAAACAUUGAUGAUCAUUUGCAUCAUUUGAAACUUGUGUUUGAUGUGUUGAGAAAAGAAAAAUUAUAUGCAAAUGUGAAAAAGUGUUCUUUUUGCUUAGAAAGAAUUGUGUUUUUGGGAUUUGUUGUGAGUAGCAAAGGUGUUGAAGUAGAUGAUGAAAAAGUUAAAGCAAUUAGAGAUUGGCCAACACCUAAAAAUGCAUCUAAAGUUAGGAGUUUUCAUGGAUUAGCAAGUUUUAUCGAAGAUUUGUGCCUAACUUUAGUUCAUUGGCUGCUCCAUUAAAUAAACUUGUCAAAAAAAAUGAGCCAUUUGUUUAGGGUAAAGAACAUAAACAUGCAUUUGCCAUGCUUAAAGGGAAAUGGUGUUCUGCACCGCCAAAACACUAGGUGUCCUUAGGGAGCAUUUCUUUUGACCCCACAUGAGAAAAGAUGUUGCGAGACUGUGCUAGAUGUGAGCCUUGCAAGAAAGCAAAGUCUAAAGUGAUGCCUCAUGGGCUAUACACACCUUUACCUGUGCCUAAGCAUCCUUGGGUUGAUUUGUCCAUGGACUUUGUCUUGGGAUUGCCUAGGUCACAAAGGGGUCAUGAUUCAAUUUUUGUGGUAGUGGAUAGGUUUUCUAAAAUGACUCAUUUCAUACUAUGCAAGAAAUGCGAUGAUGCAUCCUACGUAGCUAAUCUGUUCUUUAGGGAAGUAGUGCGUUUGCAUGGCAUUCCUAGGACCAUAGCUAGUGAUAGGGAUGUAAAAUUCUUGAGUCACUUUUGGAAGGUGUUGUGGGGGAAAUUAGGGACCAAGUUGUUGUUCUCUACCACUUGCCAUCCUUAGACAGAUAUCCAAACUGAAGUGGUAAAUAAAACCUUGUCUACACUACUUAGAGCUAUGGUUAAGCAAAACUUAAAAUCAUAGGAAGAUUGUAUAACAUUCAUUGAGUUUGCAUAUAAUAGAGUAGUGCAUUCUUCUAGUGGUUUUUCUCCAUUUGAGCUAGCGUAUGGUUUUAACUCUCUCACACCUUUGGAUUUGUUGCCCUUGCCAUUGAAUGAGAUUGCUAGCGUAGAUGGAGCCAAGAAAGCUGAAUUGGUCAAGAAGCUCCAUGAGCAAGCUAAAAGCAAGAUUGAAGCCCAAAAUGCAAAGUAUGCUUCAAGAGCUAACAAGGGCCGAAAGGCAAUUUCUUUGAAAAGGGGAAUCUUGUGUGGGUGCACUUGAGAAAAGAGAGGUUUCCUAAGCAUAGGAAAUCCAAAUUGCAACCAAGAAGUGAUGGACCCUUUAGAGUAAAAGAAAAGAUUGGAAACAAUGCCUACAAGAUUGACCUUCAAUAUAAGUAUGGUACCAUAAGUAAUACUUUUAAUGUUUCUGAUUUAUCUCCUUUCCAUGAUGCAGGUUCAAAUUGGAGGAUGAAUUCUCCUCAAGAAGGAGGAGAUGAUGAGGACAUCAUAGUGGAUCUAGAGGUACCUCAAUUCAAGGGAGCCAUUACAAGAUCAAGAGCUAAGGCAAUCCAAGCCAUGGUGUUGGAGUAUUCAACCAUGGGGUCCCAACUCAAGGGGAAAGCUUGAUCAUCAUGCAAAUUCACCUCCAAGAAGCUUCAAGAGCAUCUGAGGGCAUUGGAAACCAUUUUGGAGAUUGCCAAGUGGGUUGCUACGUGGUAACCACAUAGUUGUUGACAUGGCGGACCAAGGGUGAUGUGGCAGCCGCAUGGGAUGGUGAUUUGGCAAGGGGAGGCACUUGGGUAGAUGCUUACCAACCACUUCUAGCACAUACUUUACCCAUUUGGCAAGAGAGGGGUGGAGGAAGACAUUAUCCAACUUUUGGCAAAUAAAGGAAAAACACUUUAACCAUUUCUGGCCAAACCACCUGAUGGAGAAUUGAUGUGAUUGACUUCAGAAUACAGGAUUUUCUUUUGUGGAUUAUUAAUUUGAACAUUUAUGGUAUGUAACUAAGUAUUAAUCAGACUAUGCAUAGACCAUUAGGCUUUGUUGUGCUUUGGCUGAAUGGGUAUUUAUCACCCAUCUUCUUCUUUUUUUGUUUCAGACUUAGAAUUCAGAUUUUAGAGAGAACAAGAACAUCAUUGCUGGUGCUUGUAGGCUUUGGCCAAACUCAUUUUGUUGAGGUAUUUUAUGUUUUUUGCUAAGUUCCACAAAGAACUUAGAUUAAUUGCAAGCUGGUCACUUGUAAUAUCUUAGGUUUAUACUUGAGAAACUCCAACACAAGUUGUUUUUGUGUUUCAAGUGCCAUUGACUCUUGUAAUAUGUCUGGUUGAGUAAUAUAUUCAAGUUUUCUUUUCGUCAAAUUAGUGUUGUGGUGUAUUUAGUGAGGUUUAUGAGUGUUCGAGUUGUUGUGGAAUAAAUCUUGGUUGCUGAAAAAGAUCUUACAUGCUAACCGAAAAUCCCAGCCAUUUUUUCUCCAUUUGGUCAAGUCCAUAUCAAGUGGUAUCAAAGCUUUUGGCUUUCUCAACCAAGUAAGUUGACUAAUUUAAGUGUCUUCUUCUUAAUUUCUAGUGUUUCCUUUGAGUUGGUGCUAGAAAGGGUGAAGCUUUCUUGAAGGCAGAACCUGAACUAGCUUGUCCUUGAGUUUUUGUUGAAGUUCUUUUGCUAAAACUCUAUUCUUGUAUCUUUGUGUUGUUGUUGUGAGUUAGUGCCUGCCAUUUUCCUUGUUGUUGCUUGGUUCUUUGUUGUCCUAACAAAAACUCCUAAAAAACUCUAAGAACCAAAAUUUCAGUUUUAAGCUGAUUGUGGUUGAAAUAUUAUCCUUUGGUUCUUAGUGUUUUUAAGUGUCUAAAAUACUUUUAUCACAUUUUUGCUUGUUGUUUGUUGAGUACUCCUUCUGCCAUAGCUAAUUCUUAACUUAUUUGCCUCUUUAGUAUUAAAACUGAAUUUGUAUGUUGUUGGUGGAAAAGAUGUUGCUGGAACUUGGAAGUGAGAACUUGUGACAAACUUUGCUUUUGGAAAACUUUGAUCUUGAGAAAUUUGUGGAGUCAUUUUUUGUACAAGAGCUGAUUUGUGAAUUUGAACAAAAUACCUUGUUAUAUUUUGCGUUGGCAUCAAAAGAACAAAAGAAAGUGAAACACUUGAAUUAGGAGCACUAAACAACUCCUGAUUGCAAAAUUAGUGUUG